rnacentral:rRNA from 1 species
CAGUCGCCGCGGUAAUACGAAGGGGGCUAGCGUUGUUCGGAAUUACUGGGCGUAAAGCGCACGUAGGCGGAUAUUUAAGUCAUGGGUGAAAUCCCAGAGCUCAACUCUGGAACUGCCUUUGAUACUGGGUAUCUUGAGUAUGGAAGAGGUGAGUGGAAUUCCGAGUGUAGAGGUGAAAUUCGUAGAUAUUCGGAGGAACACCAGUGGCGAAGGCGGCUCACUGGUCCAUUACUGACGCUGAGGUGCGAAAGCGUGGGGAGCAAACAGGAUUAGAUACCCCAGUAGUCCCUGUCUCUUAUAC